UCCAGCCACCCGGCUUCAAACCCCCCUCCCGGCGGUUCAAGUUUCUGCGCCCGGAGGACGCGGCCUUGGCCAAUCCCUGGGCUACAGGGCGCUUUUAAAAUGCAGGUGGUUCCCGUGGCCUGCAUCUCAGUCCUGUGUCUCUCCAGGGCCGGCAGCUUCAGCUGAACUUUCCAAGAGAAAAACGAAGCCUGCAUCUACAUAGGGUUUGUUUGCAGCAUCUACAGACUAUAGGACUAAGAGUCCCCCAGCCAGGACCCACGGUGAAUGCACGACCCUUCAGCACAUGACCAAUUGAAUCUGAGCCCCUCAUUUUGAAGAUGAGGCAACUGAGCCCCAGGAGGCAAAUGACUUGCCCAAGGUCACUUUCGUUCAUUGGUUUACUGAACACACAAACAUAAUUAGUAAUCUCUACUCCCAACAUGGGGCUCAAACUCAUGACCCCAAGACCAAGAGUCGAAUGCUGUACUGACUGAGCCAGCCGGGCAACCCCUGAGUUGAAUCUUGAAGACUCAGAUGACCAUGUGAACUUACGGGUGAUGACCAGAGGCGUGUGGACAUGAAAGGACUCUGGUACGGAUAGCCGGGGGAAGAUUGCCCAAUGGCUGAAUGUUUCUGCAGGCCAGCACAGCGAUGGUGACUGACCGGGCCUGGGGCCGGAUUCUGGGGUUUCUUCUCUGGCCCCCCUGGGGGACCCUGUAAGAGGGGAGUCACCAUGUAGGGCUGAAAGGCCUCCAUGCCUAAGAAAUCAGGGCCCAUGUAAAAGCGGCCAUAAUUGUUUUUAUUAAAAGAUUAUAUAUUUAUUUGAGAGAGAGCAUGGGGAGGGGAGGGGCAGUGGGAGAGGGAGAAGCAGACUUCCGGCAGAUUGAGCCCCUUUGGUUCCUAGGGUGGAAGGCCCCAUUAGGGACCAAUUGGGAGAUGUCUGCAUCUGCACCACUCCCUUCCCAGCUAGAGCCACUGAAAUUCUCUCCUCCCCCUUCAGCUGCUGACAUCCCCUCAUACCAUUGCCCUGAGGAGCAAGGUAGGAAGGAGGCUCAACCACAAGGGAAACUGAGUCAGGGAGCUCUUUGCAAGACUACCUCUUACCUUAACACACUUAAAAACAUUAUUCUUGGGGCACCUGGGUGGCACAGUCAGUU